rnacentral:rRNA from 1 species
AUUGAACGCUGGCGGCAGGCCUAACACAUGCAAGUCGAACGGUAGCACAGAGAGCUUGCUCUCGGGUGACGAGUGGCGGACGGGUGAGUAACGUCUGGGAAACUGCCCGAUGGAGGGGGAUAACUACUGGAAACGGUAGCUAAUACCGCAUAACGUCGCAAGACCAAAGUGGGGGACCUUCGGGCCUCACACCAUCGGAUGUGCCCAGAUGGGAUUAGCUAGUAGGUGGGGUAAUGGCUCACCUAGGCGACGAUCCCUAGCUGGUCUGAGAGGAUGACCAGCCACACUAGAACUGAGACACGGUCCAGACUCCUACGGGAGGCAACAGUCGGGAAUAUUGAACAAUGGGCGCAAGCCUGUUGCAGCCAUGCCGCGUGUAUGAAGAAGGCCUUCGGGUUGUAAAGUACUUGCAGCGGGGAGGAAGGCGGUGAAGUUAAUAGCUUCACCGAUUGACGUUACCCGCAGAAGAAGCACCGGCUAACACCGUGCCAGCCGCCGCCGUAA